UUGGCCCUGAAUCAAGACCAGCACAGUGCUGAAGCUGAUGGUUUCAAGCAGGAGCCUUAAAAAAUGUCUUUUAAGGUCUGUUGGCCAUUUCAUAACUUGAGAAGUGUAAUGGUUAGUUCAGUAGGAAGAAACAACU